GGAGAGGUGGCAGAGCGGUUGAAUGUACCUGACUCGAAAUCAGGCAGGCGUUAAUAGCGCCUCGGGGGUUCGAAUCCCCCCCUCUCCGCCA
rnacentral:tRNA from 11 species